rnacentral:lncRNA from 1 species
UUUUUUUUUUUUCUUUUUUGAUAAUUGAGCAACCUUUCAUGGCCAAACCCUUAGGAACCUUUCAUGGCCAAACCUUUAGGACUCUCCAUAGGGACCCGAAUCUCAGAGUGCUGACCGCCCUGCAACAACCAGUACCGAGUAAAUUCAGGAUAUCAUCAAUAGCAGGAUUUAAAUCCAGGACCAUGUGCCACUUACUGGGACCACACUUCCCAGUGUUUUCCUUGACCAACUAGGCUACUCUGGCAGGUAUCUUUCUCUACUAACUUUGAAUGACCUUUGCAACCAUUUCAUGUAAAGAAUGCUUUCCUUCAUGGAGAUCUAGAAAAUGAGGUAUACAUGGAUGUUGCUCCUAAUUUCAUACACAAAUCUUAGACAAAUAGAGUGUGGAGACUUAGAAAAUCACUUUAUGGGCUCAAGCAAUCCCCAAGAACCUGGUCUGGAAGAUGCACUAAGUCAAUGAUGAUGAGGGGUUAUCAUCAAACCUAAGGUGAUUACACACUAUUCUUCAAAC